rnacentral:rRNA from 1 species
GGAAUAUUGGACAAUGGGCGCAAGCCUGAUCCAGCCAUGCCGCGUGCAGGAUGACGGUCCUAUGGAUUGUAAACUGCUUUUGCACAGGAAGAAACAACGCUACGUGUAGCGUCUUGACGGUACUGUGAGAAUAAGGAUCGGCUAACUCCGUGCCAGCAGCCGCGGUAAUACGGAGGAUCCAAGCGUUAUCCGGAAUCAUUGGGUUUAAAGGGUCCGUAGGCGGUUUAGUAAGUCAGUGGUGAAAGCCCAUCGCUCAACGGUGGAACGGCCAUUGAUACUGCUAAACUUGAAUUAUUAGGAAGUAACUAGAAUAUGUAGUGUAGCGGUGAAAUGCUUAGAGAUUACAUGGAAUACCAAUUGCGAAGGCAGGUUACUACUAAUGGAUUGACGCUGAUGGACGAAAGCGUGGGUAGCGAACAGGAUUAGAUACCCUAG